ACCACCGAUCUUCUGAUCAGCAAGCCCAAGAGGCUCAGUGGUUUAGACCACAGCGCCACCCGCGUCCCUAUAUAUAGUCCAAACUAUAGUAUCUUGAAAGCAGGGUAUAAAGUGAAAGAGGUAUUCUGUCCAUUCCAGAGGCUGAGAUCCAGUUGGUGUAGUUGAACAAACUGACUAGAUCAUGGGCAUGGUGGAGAAACUGACAUGAGGGUCAGUAUAUCUUUGUCUUCAAGCAUACACUUAGGAUGCUGGAGAUUAAUCUAAACCCUUUCAAAGAGAAAAUAGUCUUGGCCCCACUACCAUAAGUUCACUUUUAAGUGUUCUCUCCUAAUAAUUUAGUUCUUAUCUCUCAGUUUUACUCUGUUUUUCAUGCAUAAGGAACCAGCAUCUUAUUGAAAAGAAUUCAAAAUGUAAAAGCCUAUUAAACAUUUAAAAAAGUAACAUAAAACAAUGACAUGUAGCAAUCCCAAAUAAAAUGCAUGUUUGCUGGAUCCAGAUGGUAAACAGUUCCUUUGAUAGGAAUGACCUCUUCCCCUGAUAUUGACAUAUCAGGGGGAUAUUGAUAUUACACCGUCUUCUGCCUUCUGAACAGGAGGAGGCGCCAUCUCCCUCCCCAAACUGAUCCUGACUGUGUUCCAUGAAGAUUUGGGCCUGAUCGGCUGUCAUAGAGGCUUGUCUUCCCGCUUCUUUGGCUGUGUUUUUUAGUCAGUUUCUUGCCUUUUUUCACCCACCUCUCCUCUCAUUUUUCUUUUUACUGUUGUUGUGAGUGUGUUUCUGGUUUGCUUUGAGUGUUUGGAUUAUAUUUUUACCUCAGCACAUUUUCACUUUCUUCAUUCCAGCUCUAGUCCCUUCUGGUGGCUACAGAGUGAGGGGUGUUUUUGUUUUUUUAUGUGCAGUGUCUACUUGGCCACAUUUCUGUGAAGCAGCUUCUGGAGUUUUUGGCAUGUCCUGCAAAUAAACUAGGUAGCAGUAGCAUUUUUAGAACAGGCUUUGACUGCGCAAUAUCUGUGAGUGCUUGGGGGGGGGCAGUUUGUUUUGCAGCCUCCUACACCAUCUGCCUGGGCUUUCCAGAUCACCAUUCUCUGCUAGAUCACCCAGUUUUGGCUCCUGCCUUUUUUGCUGGGCAUUCCAGCUAUUCCCACUACCCAGAUCACCCAAUGUCCCCAUAUUUUUGGCAACCUCAGCCACACAUUUUGAGGAAGUGGAGCAGCUGUGAGGAGGGUCCCUUGAUAAAUUGUCUAGGCGGGAGUUCCAUUUUGGAGCAGGGUUUUCUCCACACACACCUGCCAUCCUUUAUGCUCCAUUCUGCUCUGUAUUUGACAGUUCCCUUAGUUUUUGUACUGGGUCUGCUUCCUUUUGGGGGCUAUUGGCCUCAUUGACCCCCUUCUUUAACACUCAGCAGAGGCAAGUUGGGUGGGCACUAUUUCUUUUGGUCUGAGGACACAUGCUGCCCCCUCUUUUAUUUCUGUCAUUACUCCUCCCUCAGUAGUUCUCCUACAGGAGUUUUUGGGGGGUGAACUUUUAUUUAGACUCCCAACAUUUCUGCCUCGGGGGGGGGGGGCUAUGUCUAGAGAUAGGAUAUUCCUCUCACUUCCUUUGCUGGAAGUAAGGGGUUUUGGAGGGUUGUCCCAAAUCAGUGUGUCUCUGUGUGUCUUUGGGGCUUUUUAGGGUUUUGGUGCCGCUUAUUUGACUAGUUGCAUUUCCUCGGCCUGGGGUAUCCUUUCCUUCCUGUUCUCAUGUUUUCUCUGUUGAUUGCAUAUUUGAGUGAAUUUGUUUAGGGGUGUGGGGUUGUCUGCUCUGCCACUUGAUUUGGUGAGGGAGAUGGCUUAUCCCCUGAGAGAGGAGGCAGAGAAUUGUACGACUCUGCAUGUCAUCCUUAUCAGAGGAAUAUUCUCCAUCUGGAUCCCCAAACAAAAAUUCAUGAGUGAAACACUCUCCAGGGGCCUUUACUAGCUGAUGAACGUCUGCUCCUAAAAAAGUACCUGAAUAACCUACUGGGGAAAAGUAUGUACAAUAUUUCAAUUCACUAAUAAAAUAUACAUAAAAAAUUAAAAAUAAGAAAUGCCCAAGGAGAGAAAUUGUGAAAUGUUGCCAGCCAGAUUGGAGAUCCACUGGAAGAGAGAAGAGAAAUGGAAAACAGCAUGAUUUUAGGCCCUUGUGAAAUUGCUUCAGUUUCCUCCAUGUGUACAGAUGCUUCUAUAAUGACACUCUGAACACAAUACAGAAGAUGAGUCCUGCUGACUAGAAGGCAUUCUGCAUGACAAGGCAAGACAACAAACCUACUCCCAGUUUAAUAUUUUUUCUUGCUAGCUUGAUAUUAAGGAUGGGAGGGAAAUCCAAUUUUGUUUGCAUUUGAGUGAGAAACUACCGGUACUUGAUUUGUUCUUAAACCAGUAUGUGAACUGAAACUCAAUUACUUGUAUCCUUCAAAAUACGCACGUCUCUGAAUGUUGUGAUGGAGUUUUCUGAUCAAGCAAUGUGUACCAAAAUGCAUAUAUUAGGGGAAAGUGUUCAUAAAAAUG